rnacentral:rRNA from 1 species
CAAUAGCGUAUAUUAAAGUUGUUGCGGUUAAAACGCUCGUAGUUGGAUUUCUGUUGAGGGCAGCCGGUCCGCACUUCGUGCGUGUAUCUGGUUUGACCUCGGCAUCCUCUCAAAAUACGUUUCUGCGCUUGAUUGCGUGGAGCGGAGUUUGAGACUUUUACUUUGCGGAAAUUAGAGUGUUCACGGCAGGCAAUCGCCUUGAAUAUAUUAGCAUGGAAUAAUAAUAUAGGAUCUUGGUUCUAUUUUGUUGGUUUCUAGAGCUAAGAUAAUGAUUAAUAGGGACAAUUGGGGGCAUUCGUAUUAACGCGUCAGAGGUGGAAUUCUUGGAUUGCGUUACGACGAACUACUGCGAAAGCAUUUGCCAAGGAUGUUUUCAUUGA